rnacentral:rRNA from 1 species
UACGAAGGGGGCGAGCGUUGUUCGGAUUUACUGGGCGUAAAGGGCGCGCAGGCGGCUCAUUUUGUCAGGCGUGAAAGCCCCGGGCUUAACCUGGGAACUGCGUUUGAUACGGAUGGGCUAGAGUUCGGGAGAGGAGAGUGGAAUUCCCAGUGUAGAGGUGAAAUUCGUAGAUAUCGGGAGGAACACCAGUGGCGAAGGCGGCGACCUGGACGGACAUUGACGCUGAGACGCGAAAGCGUGGGGAGCAAACAGG